rnacentral:rRNA from 1 species
GAUGAACGCUGGCGGCGUGCUUAACACAUGCAAGUCGAACGAAGCACUUUACUUGAUCUCUUCGGAGUGAUUGUUUUGUGACUGAGUGGCGGACGGGUGAGUAACGCGUGGGUAACCUGCCUCACACAGGGGGGAUAACAGUUGGAAACGGCUGCUAAUACCGCAUAAGCGCACAGUACCGCAUGGUACGGUGUGAAAAAACUCCGGUGGUGUGAGAUGGACCCGCGUCUGAUUAGCUAGUUGGCAGGGCAACGGCCUACCAAGGCGACGAUCAGUAGCCGACCUGAGAGGGUGACCGGCACAUUGGGACUGAGACACGGCCCAAAACUCCUACGGGAGCAGCAGUGGGGAAUAUUGCACAAUGGGGGAAACCUGAUGCAGCGACGCCGCGUGAGCGAAGAAGUAUUUCGGAUGUAAAAGCUCUAUCAGCAGGGAANAAGAAAUGACGUACCUGACUAAGAAGCACCGGCUAAAAUA